CACAAGAUGAGAUUUCUUUUAAGGGUCGUGGAAGAUGACCACGUUGAUAGGCUAUAGAUGUAAAGGCAGUAAUGUCAUAGUCGAGUAGUACUAAUAACCCGUAAGCUUAUGUAC
rnacentral:rRNA from 1 species